UACGUAGGGUGCAAGCGUUGUCCGGAAUUAUUGGGCGUAAAGAGCUCGUAGGCGGUCUGUCGCGUCGGCUGUGAAAAUCCAGGGCUCAACCCUGGACCUGCAUUCGAUACGGGCAGACUAGAGUUCGGCAGGGGAGACUGGAAUUCCUGGUGUAGCGGUGAAAUGCGCAGAUAUCAGGAGGAACACCGGUGGCGAAGGCGGGUCUCUGGGCAGUAACUGACGCUGAGGAGCGAAAGCGGGGGUAGCAAACAGG
rnacentral:rRNA from 1 species